AGAAACUGUCACAGAAAAACCAUUAGACUUGAAACUGAUUCUGUCUCAGCUCUGUUUGAAACUUCAAUUGUUUCUCAAGCAAGCUUCUCUACUUCUUAUCUCUAAACUAAUAUAAUAAGACUUAAUUUCUAAUAUCAUCCUUAUACUGUGUGACCCUGGUCAAGUCACUUAACCUCUAUUGCCUAGCCCCCUGUAAUAGAGGGCAAUACUAGGAUAUUUGUGGUAGUAAGGACAGGGACAGCAGGAAGCCAGCUAAGGGACAAGGCUGGACCUUACACUCCUCCCACACACUACUUCCUGUCCCUUCCCCAACUGAAUCUAAAGAUUCUUCUCAAGAAUGAAGAAGAGAUUGAAUUAGAUGGCCUCUGAAGACCAUUCCAGCUCUGCAUGUGUUUACUGAAUGAGGAAAUAGACAGCCUGAGGUUAAGGGACUUCUCAGGGUCACACAGCUAC
rnacentral:lncRNA from 1 species